UACGUAGGGGGCAAGCGUUGUCCGGAUUUAUUGGGCGUAAAGAGCGUGUAGGCGGCCAAGCAGGUCCGCUGUGAAAACUCGAGGCUCAACCUCGAGACGUCGGUGGAAACCGUUUGGCUAGAGUCCGGAAGAGGAGAGUGGAAUUCCCGGUGUAGCGGUGAAAUGCGCAGAUAUCGGGAAGAACACCCGUGGCGAAGGCGGCUCUCUGGGACGGUACUGACGCUGAGACACGAAAGCGUGGGGAGCGAACAGG
rnacentral:rRNA from 1 species